rnacentral:misc_RNA from 1 species
AACCACCUCAAUCUAUAUUCUCUCAACUUAUCCUCAGUUGGCACCACUCGAGUGAAGUAAGUGAAGGUAAAAUGCUACUAUGUUAAAGAAACCAAGCAACCAAAGUAAUACAGAAACAAAGCCUAAAAGCAUCAGAAAAUUAAGAAUUGCAUAAUCUAGGUGAUUAACUAAGUAAAUAAACCACCAAGUAAACAAAGACCUUAUUAAUAUCAAGGCAAGACUUUCAAUAUACAUUUAGCGUAUUUUUUUAAACGCUUCGGCAAACAGCUGCAAAAAGUGCAUUUCAUCAUUGUUUAGGUUUCACAAUCAUGAUUGAUUCGGCCAUGCCAAAGCAUUUUCUUUUGAUGUCAUGGCAAACCUGGACAGCUCAAAAAGGAAAAUUAUACAUAAAAAAUUUCCACACCCAAUUUUAACAAAAGCUACCUACACUGCUACACCAGACUAGAAGCCUUAUACUGUGACACGAAUCAAACUACCCAGUUACCUCAAAGUUUAAAAAACUGAAAUUGCAUGCAAAACAACAUAGACCAAAUUUAAACCAAUUUCCCAUUUUGUAGGUAUCUUAUUUUUAUCAAUUCAAGGAACCCAACAGCUGGAAAUUGGAAAUUUGAACCCCCUUGCAGAAGCAAAGAACAUUCACUGAAGGUUCCUAAUCCUUGCGAAUUGUGACCAGCAGCUACCCACCAAACAACCCACUAAACAAAUUCGUUUAGCCGAUAAAUAAUAUCAAUGAAAUUAAGCCAUUUUCAAGCGCAGCAAAAAACGAUAGAAUAAAUUCCGAUAUUUAAACAAUAACCAAUUAAGAAUCAGUAUAAAAAAAAAAAUUGCAUAAGCA